UCCUACGGCAGCCAUUUCAAAAGAAGUCA
rnacentral:piRNA from 1 species